GGGCCUGUGGCUCAGCCAGGUUAGUGAGAAUCGUCUCGCUGUCAGCGGCUGGCUCUUAACCAGCAUGCCGUGGGUUCGAAUCCCACCAGGCCCG
rnacentral:tRNA from 1 species